GAUGAACGCUGGCGGCGUGCCUAUUACAUGCAAGUCGAGCGAACAGAUAAGGAGCUUGCUCCUUUGACGUUAGCGGCGGACGGGUGAGUAACACGUGGAUAACCUACCUAUAAGACUGGGAUAACUUCGGGAAACCGGAGCUAAUACCGGAUAACAUAUUGAACCGCAUGGUUCAAUAGUGAAAGGCGGCUUUGCUGUCACUUAUAGAUGGAUCCGCGCCGUAUUAGCUAGUUGGUAAGGUAACGGCUUACCAAGGCAACGAUACGUAGCCGACCUGAGAGGGUGAUCGGCCACACUGGAACUGGGACACGGUCCAGGCUCCUGCGGGAGGCAGCAGUAGGGAAUCUUCCGCAAUGGUCGAAAGCCUGACGGAGCAACGCCGCGUGAGUGAUGAAAGUCUUCGGAUCGUAAAACUCUGUUAUCAGGGAAGAACAAAUGUGUAAGUAACUGUGCACAUCUUGACGGUACCUGAUCAGAAAGCCACGGCUAACUACGUG
rnacentral:rRNA from 1 species